AGAACGAACGCUGGCGGCAGGCCUAACACAUGCAAGUCGAACGAGAAGCCACCUUCGGGUGGUGGAAAGUGGCAGACGGGUGAGUAACGCGUGGGAACGUACCCUUUGGUUCGGAACAACUCCGGGAAACUGGAGCUAAUACCGGAUGAGCCCUACGGGGGAAAGAUUUAUCGCCGAAGGAUCGGCCCGCGUCGGAUUAGCUAGUUGGUGAGGUAACGGCUCACCAAGGCUACGAUCCGUAGCUGGUCUGAGAGGAUGAUCAGCCACACUGGGACUGAGACACGGCCCAGACUCCUACGGGAGCAGCAGUGGGGAAUAUUGGACAAGUGGGCGCAAGCCUGAUCCAGCCAUGCCGCGUGAGUGAUGAAGGCCUUAGGGUGUAAAGCUCUUUCGCCAGGGACGAUAAUGACGGUACCUGGAUAAGAAGCCCGGCUAACUCGUGCCAGCAGCCGC
rnacentral:rRNA from 1 species